AACGCGCAUCAAGAGUUGGGGUGUGACGCCCCGACGCCAACCUGCCGGUCUCCGGGCAAGGUGGCGCCUUCGGCGACGAAGGGAUGCGGCCGGUCCGGCAACCAAACGGAACAAG
rnacentral:ncRNA from 2 species